rnacentral:piRNA from 1 species
UAAGGACCCCAGUUUGGAACCUUA